rnacentral:tRNA from 5 species
GGGGCGUUAGCUCAGUUGGUAGAGCAGCGGACUCUUAAUCCGUAGGUCCAGAGUUCGAGUCUCUGACGCCCCACCA